rnacentral:rRNA from 1 species
UAUCUGGUUGAUCCUGCCAGUAGUUAUAUGCUUGUCUCAAAGAUUAAGCCAUGCAUGUCUGAGUACAGACCGAUCUAAGGUGAAACCGCGAAUGGCUCAUUAAAUCAGUCAUAAUUCCUUGGAUAGUGAAAACAUUUCCUCGGAUAACUGUGGAAAAUCUAGAGCUAAUACGUGCAACUGAGCUCCGACCUUAGGCUUUCGGGUCGACGGGAAGAGCGCAUUUAUUAGAUUCAAAACUAACCGACUUUUACAGUCGCUUGUCAAACUUGAUGAAUCCGGAUAACUUAGCCGAGCGCUACGGUCUUGGUACCGGCGCCGUAUCUUUCAAGUGUCUGCCUUAUCAGCUUUCGAUUGUAGGUUAAACGCCUACAAUGGCUGUAACGGGUAACGGGGAAUCAGGGUUCGAUUCCGGAGAGGGAGCCUGAGAAACGGCUACCACAUCUAAGGAAGGCAGCAGGCACGCAAAUUACCCACUCCCAGUUCGGGGAGGUAGUGACGAAAAAUAACGAUGUAAGACUCUUCCGAGGCCUUACAAUCGGAAUGAGCUCAUUCUAAACCUUUGGGCGAGGAUCCAUUGGAGGGCAAGUCUGGUGCCAGCAGCCGCGGUAAUUCCAGCUCCAAUAGCGUAUAUUAAAGUUGCUGCGGUUAAAAAGCUCGUAGUUGGAUCUCCUAGAUCCAUUGUCGCGGACGGGUAGCUUCUAUGUACGUUGCCGAGUUCGUGCGAUCCGCUUCGUUUGCUUUCACUUAGCGCGUUCGUCCCUUUCGUGUCGGCGAAACUGAGCGAUCUCGGUCGUUGUUGGUUCUCGUCGUUCGGAGGCGCUCGUUCGUCGCGACGUGUUAGCGUAUUUCGUCGUCGGACGGCGGAUUCGGUUGUCUAGAAGCGUGGCCCGUUCGUGCAUGGUACAAUUAAAAUUUUGUCAGCUCACUCGGAGUGCCCUUCACCGAGUGUUCCAGGGUGGCUGACACGUUCACUUUGAAGAAAUUAGAGUGCUUAAAGCGGGCCGAAAAUGUUGCCUGAAUGUUGUUGCAUGGAAUGAAGGAAGAGGACCUCGGUUCUGUUCUUUUUGUCGGUUUUAUUGAGCCGAGGUAAUGAUUAAAAGGAACAGACGGUGGCAUUAGUAUUACGACGCUAGAGGUGAAAUUCUUGGACCGUCGUAAGACUGACUACUGCGAAAGCAUUUGCCGAGAAUGUUUUCAUUAAUCAAGAACGAAAGUUAGAGGAUCGAAGGCGAUCAGAUACCGCCCUAGUUCUAACCCUAAACUAUGCUAACUAGCGAUCCGUCGGAGUCAUUCCCACGACCCGGCGGGAAGCCUCAGGGAAACCAAAGUCUUUGAGUUCCGGGGGAAGUAUGGUUGCAAAGCUGAAACUUAAAGGAAUUGACGGAAGGGCACCACCAGGAGUGGAGCUGCGGCUUAAUUUGACUCAACACGGGAAACCUCACCAGGCCCGGACAUCAAAAGGAUUGACAGAUUGAGAGCUCUUUCUCGAUUCGAUGGGUGGUGGUGCAUGGCCGUUCUUAGUUGGUGGAGUGAUCUGUCUGGUUGAUUCCGAUAACGAACGAGACUCUACCCUACUAACUAGUCGGCGGAUCGUAACCCUGAGAUGGGAGGCUACUCUGGAAAGCGUUUCCGAUUUCGUUUCGUGCGCGCGCGCGCGUAUUGCGUUCGUCGUUCUUCGGCGGUCGUGGUUCGUGUCGUCGUGUAUCGGGCGGGAAAGGGGCGUCUAGAAAGGUGACUCUUACUGGGGGCGUCCGUCGCAUAGUAUCUUCUUAGAGGGAUCAGCGGCGUCUAGCCGCACGAGAAAGAGCAAUAACAGGUCUGUGAUGCCCUUAGAUGUUCUGGGCCGCACGCGCGCUACAAUGUAGGGCUCAGCGUGCCUUCUUCCCCCUCCGAAAGGAGCGGGUAACCACUUGAAACCCCUACACGAUUGGGAUUGGGGAUUGCAAAUGUUUCCCAUAAACGAGGAAUUCCCAGUAAGCGCGAGUCAUUAGCUCGCGCUGAUUACGUCCCUGCCCUUUGUACACACCGCCCGUCGCUACUACCGAUUGAAUGAUUCAGUGAGGGCAUCGGACUGGCGCCUUCGGUUGAAACACACCUUAGGCUGACGGAAAGAUGUCCGAACUUGAUCAUUUAGAGGAAGUAAAAGUCGUAACAAGGUUUCCGUAGUUGAACCUGCGGAAGGAUCAUUA